rnacentral:rRNA from 1 species
GUCUGCUUACCAAAGGAGUAUGACGACCUCGAUGUGCCCAACCUGCGCCUACUCAACACGGCUCUGAGAUCGCGAUAGCUAUGGCUUGCACAGACUAACCCAGGCAGACCAUGGUGUGAAUUCAACAUACAAGUCUCAUCGGACUCAACGUCCAUCUACAAAGCAGCCAUCAAGUGCACCAUUGGCGACGGGUCCACAACUCUAUUCUGGACAGAUUGGUGGCUUCGGGAGGGGCGCAUCCAGGAUAUCAUGCCCAGCUUGUUCGGUGUGGUCGAGAAGACCACGAUCAAGGUCACGACGGUGAACGAAGCUAUAUCAAGAGAGUGGUGGUGCGACGUACCGCCUAAUAUGUCUGAGCAGGCAAUACAUGGGUUCCUCAGAUUAGUCAAUUGA